CAGCCCUGUAGGAGACACCUCCAGAGAAAGUAACAGCUCUCAAUUGAUUAGCUGAGAAGCCUCAGGGGCUGGAUCCUGACAUGAACCAGACACCUCCAGAAUUCUAUCCCAAGCAAAAGAUUAUUUCAAGGCCAGAACUCACUCCCUGCUGGAGACUGACUACAAGAUCCACUGAGAUUGAUGUGUAACCUGAUUGGGCCCACAGUGAUGCUAGCCCCUUCACCAGAUGGAACAAUAAUUCCAGACAAGCCAUCAGAGCAGGUCACACCACUUGACACCUUCUCGCCCCCUUGCCUCUCCUGCAUUCCAAACCCCUCUCUUUAAAAUCCCCAUGUUCCCUCCGUAAACUGGGCAGUGCCAAUUGUUGGAAAGAAUUCUGGCACUCUUUUCCUUCUUAGCAUGGAUAAAAAGAUUCACCCUCUUUUUAUCACACCUCACUCUUGUUAUUUUGGCUUCUUUCUACAAGUGGUGAGCAACCGGGCCCCCUUUGCUGGUUAUAGUAUGAACUAUUUUAUUUUUUUUAAUCUACAAUAAAAUAAAAUACAUUCAUUAGAUUUCAAAGUGGUGUUUAAUGGUUUAAGAAAAACUAGUUUUACAUUUGCAACUUGAAUAUAUUAGAUAUUAUUAAAAGCACCACAAUUGUUAAGUACUGCAGUACCUUUUCAUCUUUGAAAGCCCUUUAGAACAUUUGAAAACUCCACUGGCAUAGUUGAUACCUUUCUGGCUGUCUUUUCCCAC
rnacentral:lncRNA from 1 species